ACAUUCUAAUUUAGAGUUGGACAUGUGCUGUGGAAGUCCAUGAUCAUAUCCUGGUACAUCUAAUUAUAAAACUGAGUGGGACCAGAGGCAAUGACUAUGUGGCUCAAACAGUUUGCCCAAAUAGUCUUAACUUCAUCACUCUCAAUGGAUACAACAGCAACUCUCAUCUUAUAUCUGUGGCUAUGUGAGAACUUCAAGGAACAUCCUGAUGUUCAUAUUUGAGUAGAAUUCCCUAUUGAAGAAAGAAUAUGAUGACCAAUUGAAUAAGAAAGUGAAGCCAAGGCCUUAUGCACGCUAGUCAGGAGCUUUGCUGCCAACCUGGGUUUCAAUUCUACAAGUCUAACUUUAAGGGUGGCUGUGCAGGAGCGAGUCUUUUUAGCAUUGUCUGGGAUGAAAUAAAGACUUAGAAGGUGUACUUGCUUUCUUGCAAAUGUUUUCUUCUGGCUCAAUUCAAUGGUCAAUUAUCAAUAAACUACUAAAACAGA